rnacentral:rRNA from 1 species
CCUACGAGGAGCAGCAGUGAGGAAUAUUGGUCAAUGGACGAGAGUCUGAACCAGCCAAGUAGCGUGAAGGAUGACUGCCCUAUGGGUUGUAAACUUCUUUUAUAUGGGAAUAAAACAGGGUAUGCAUACCCUCUUGUAUGUACCAUAUGAAUAAGGAUCGGCUAACUCCGUGCAAGCAGCCGCGGUAAUACGGAGGAUCCGAGCGUUAUCCGGAUUUAUUGGGUUUAAAGGGAGCGUAGGUGGAUUGUUAAGUCAGUUGUGAAAGUUUGCGGCUCAACCGUAAAAUUGCAGUUGAAACUGGCAGUCUUGAGUACAGUAGAGGUGGGCGGAAUUCGUGGUGUAGCGGUGAAAUGCUUAGAUAUCACGAAGAACUCCGAUUGCGAAGGCAGCUCACUGGACUGCAACUGACACUGAUGCUCGAAAGUGUGGGUAUCAAACAGGAGUAGAUACCCCAGUAGUC